CAGGAGGAUAUGAAGGAGCUUCUUCCUAUCCACCACCACCACCACCUCCAACACAGGGGUGGUCUGAAGACAACGCCGCGGCCUCCUUGGACGAGUUUACACGGUUGUUUGCUACGCCUGCCCAGGACGAUGAUCCCAGUUUGCAUACACCUCUGGCUCAGUUACGCCAUCCUGUCAGAAACGUGGGGCCACCGGAACGUCAUAGCUACCCUACAGAUCACGUACACGCACAACAUAAGAGAGGUCGGAAUGGUAGGGGUGGUUAGUUGUUUGCACUUGUUUCUCCGGCGGCAUUAUGGAUGGUUUCGACUGUUCGGAUU